CGUGAGCAACCUACCGAACUGUGGGGGAUAGCCGGCCUAACGGCCGAGUAAUACCGCAUACGCUCUCAGAGAGGCAUUUCAUUGAGAGGAAACCUACGGGACAGAUCGAGGGGCUCGCGGCCUAUCAGCUAGUUGGCGAGGUAACGGCUCACCAAGGCAACGACGGGUAGCUGGUCUGAGAGGAUGGCCAGCCACAUUGGGACUGAGAUACGGCCCAG
rnacentral:rRNA from 1 species